GACGAACGCUGGCGGCGUGCUUAACACAUGCAAGUCGAACGGAAAGGCCCUGCUUUUGUGGGGUGCUCGAGUGGCGAACGGGUGAGUAACACGUGAGUAACCUGCCCUUGACUUUGGGAUAACUUCAGGAAACUGGGGCUAAUACCUGAUAGGAGCUCCUGCUGCAUGGUGGGGGUUGGAAAGUUUCGGCGGUUGGGGAUGGACUCGCGGCUUAUCCGCUUGUUGGUGGGGUAGUGGCUUACCAAGGCUUUGACGGGUAGCCGGCCUGAGAGGGGGACCGGCGACAAUGGGACUGCGAGACGGCGCAGACGCGUACGGGAGGCAGCAGUGGGGAGUAUGGCACAAUGGGCGGAAGCCUGAUGCAGCAACGCCGCGUGCGGGAUGACGGCCUUCGGGUGGUAAACCGCUUUCGCCUGUGACGAAGCGUGAGUGACGGUAAUGGGUAAAGAAGCACCGGCUAACUACGUG
rnacentral:rRNA from 1 species